rnacentral:sRNA from 1 species
GUGAAAGAGGCAAAAAUCAUCGCAAUGACUUGUACACACGCGGCUCUCCGUCGAAAUGAGCUCGUGAAGCUCGGCUUCCGCUACGAUAAUAUCGUAAUGGAAGAAGCCGCUCAAAUUCUUGAAGUUGAAACAUUUAUCCCAUUGUUACUACAAAAUCCACAAGACGGACACAAUCGACUGAAACGAUGGAUUAUGAUUGGAGAUCAUCAUCAGCUGCCGCCAGUUGUACAGAAUCAGGCAUUCCAGAAAUAUUCGAAUAUGGAACAAUCGUUAUUUGCGAGAUUAGUCAGGCUUAGUGUACCAAAUGUGCAGUUGGAUCGACAGGGAAGAGCCAGGGCUCAGUGCGUGUUUUUUUUUGGGGAAUUCUUGAGAAAUUCUACGUGAAAAUUAAGAAUUUUACGGUUGAAUUUACCGAAAAACGAUUUUUCGUGCGAAAUUGGCAAAUUUUCAUAUGAAAAUUGCAACUUUUCACAAGAAAAAUUUGGCAUUUGAGCUCAAUUUGCUGAAAUUCAGAUUUUUUUCGGAAAAUUGGCGAAUUUCUAAGUGAAAAUUGAGAUUUUAAAUAUAAAUUUACCGAAAGUCGAUUUUUUGUGCGAAAUUGGCAAAUUUUCAUAUGAAAUUUGCACCUUUUCACAAGAAAAUUUGACAUUUGAGCUGAAUUUGCUGAAAUUUGGAUUUUUCCUAUAAAAAUUCCGAAUUUCCAAUUCAAAAUUUAUAUUAUUCAUAUAAGUUUCAUGAAAAUCAGAUUUUUUUUCCCGAAAAAUUGCGAAUUUCUACAUGGAAAUUGAAAUUUUCAUUUUGAAUUUCCCGAAAAACGAAAUUUGUGUGAAAAUUGCGAAUUUUCAUACGAAAUUUGCACAUUUUUACAGGAAAAUUGAAAUUUAAGCCGAAUUUGCUAAAAAUCGGAUUUUUCAGAAAGAAAGUUAUAGCAAUUGCGAAUUUCCACAUCAAAAUUGGUAUAAAUUUACUGAAAAUCGGAUUUUUGUACGAAAUUGGCCAAUUUUCAUAUAAAAUUUGCAAAAGUUUUCACCGGACAAUUGAAAUUUAAGCUGAAUUUGCUGAAAUUCAGAUUUUCUCGAACAAUUGCGAAUUUCUACGUGAAAAUUCAAAUGUUCACGUUUGAAUUUGCCGAAAAUUGAAUUUUUGUGCGAAAUUUGCAAAUUUUCACGAAAAAAUUGAAAUUUAAGCCGGAUUUGAUGAUAUUCGGAUUUUUGUACAAAAAUUGCGAAUUUCCUUUUCAAAAUUUAUAUUAUUCAUAUAAGUUUCAUUAAAAUCGGAAUUUUUUAAGGAAAAAUUGCGAAUUUUUUCGUGAAAAUUGAGAUUUUCAUAUAAAUUUCCUGAAAAUCGGAUUUUUGUGCAAAAAUUGCGAAUUUUCAAAUGAAAUUUUCACAUCACCACCAGGCAGUGUACCUGAAUCCCAGAUCCGCAGUGCAUAGCACUUGAAGAACGGAUCGUCCUUCAAUCUUUAAUCUUUAAUCACCUGAAAAUUGAAAUUCAAGUUGAAUUUUCUGAAAUUUUAUAAUUGCAGAAAAAACUGAUUUCCAUUAAAAAAAAUUGGAAAUUUCUACGUCAAAGUUGAUCUUAAAAGCUAUUUUGCACAUGAAAAUUUCGAUUUUCGAGACUUUUUUUUGCGAAUUCCGACAAAAAUUGCACAGUUUUCAUUGAAAAUUCGAUUUUUUUUUGCACUUUUCCGGUUCUAGUAGCACCUCUCUUUUUUCAUUUAAUUGAAUGACGAAAAAAGGAGGAAAUUGGCAACAUUUCGUUGUCUAUCGAUUCCUUAUCAAAUUUUUAAUCAACUUAUCACUUUUCUGACUACCUCCUGUCAAUUUGAAAUAGAAGAAUGUACCUAAUUUGUACAAAAAGUUCAUUGAUCAAAGAAAUCACGAUUUUUUUUUUGGAAUGUUCAAAUUUCAUAAGUUAUGAUAAAAUUGCACGAAUCCAAAAAUUCACCAAUUUUCUCUAAAAAUCGCCGUUUUUUUUUUCAGAAUCGCCGAACUCUACCAAUGGAGAUAUAAUGGACUCGGAAAUCUGCCCCAUGUUGAUGGAUUACCUCAGUUCCAGG